rnacentral:rRNA from 1 species
AUUGAACGCUGGCGGCAGGCCAAACACAUGCAAGUCGAACGGUAACAGGAAGCAGCUUGCUGCUUUGCUGACGAGUGGCGGACGGGUGAGUAAUGUCUGGGAAACUGCCCGAUGGAGGGGGAUAACUACUGGAAACGGUAGCUAAUACCGCAUAACGUCGCAAGACCAAAGAGGGGGACCUUAGGGCCUCUUGCCAUCGGAUGUGCCCAGAUGGGAUUAGCUAGUAGGUGGGGUAACGGCUCACCUAGGCGACGAUCCCUAGCUGGUCUGAGAGGAUGACCAGCCACACUGGAACUGAGACACGGUCCAGACUCCUACGGGAGGCAGCAGUGGGGAAUAUUGCACAAUGGGCGCAAGCCUGAUGCAGCCAUGCCGCGUGUAUGAAGAAGGCCUUCGGGUUGUAAAGUACUUUCAGCGGGGAGGAAGGGAGUAAAGUUAAUACCUUUGCUCAUUGACGUUACCCGCAGAAGAAGCACCGGCUAACUCCGUG